GACGUAGGGCGCGAGCGUUGUCCGGAUUUAUUGGGCGUAAAGAGCUCGUAGGCGGCUCAUCGCGUCUGCCGUGAAAACCCGCAGCUCAACUGUGGGCGUGCGGGCGAUACGGGCAGACUGGAGUACUGCAGGGGAGACUGGAAUUCCUGGUGUAGCGGUGGAAUGCGCAGAUAUCAGGAGGAACACCGGUGGCGAAGGCGGGUCUCUGGGCAGUAACUGACGCUGAGGAGCGAAAGCGUGGGGAGCGAACAGG
rnacentral:rRNA from 1 species